GAUGAACGCUGGCGGCGUGCCUAAUACAUGCAAGUCGAGCGAACAGAUAAGGAGCUUGCUCCUUUGACGUUUGCGGCGGACGGGUGUGUAACACGUGGGUAACCUACCUAUAUGCCGGGGAUAACUUCGGGAAACCGGAGCUAAUCCCGGAUAACACUUGGCACCGCGUUCUUCUAUAGUGAAAGAUGGCGUUGCUAUCUCUUAUAGCUGGACCCGCGCCGUAUUAGCUAGUUGGUAAGGUCACGGCUUACCACGGCAACGUUACGUAGCCGAGCUGAGAGGGUGAGCAGCCACACUGGAAGUGAGACAGGCUCCACUGUGACUCGGGAGGCAGCCGUAGGGAAUCUUGCGGAAUGAGCGGAGACUAGACGGAGCAACGCCGCGUCAUGGAUGAGGGGUUUCGGGUCGUAAAACUCGGUUAUUAGGGAGUAACAAACUUGUAAGUAACUGUGCACGUCUGUAAGGGACCUAAUCAGAAAGCCACGGGUAACUAAGGG
rnacentral:rRNA from 1 species